UCAUUUCUUAUUCAAUCUCGCUAUCCGAUCUCAACCAUGGCUUCUCUCCUCAACUCUUCUCUGUUGCUCUCGCUCGCGUCCUAGGGUUCCUCCUUCGCCGUCGUCGCUCACGACGCCUUCAACACCUUCUUCAGCGAAACCGGUUCCGGCAAGCACGUCCCACGCGCCGUCUUCGUCGAUCUUGAACCCACCGUCAUCAACGAAGUCUGUGCCGGCACCUACCGCCAACUCUUCCACCCCGAACAACUCAUCUCCGGCAAGGAAGACGCCGCCAACAACUUUUCCGGAGGACACUACACCGUGUCGCUAGAGCUGUCAUUCACUGCAUCUGUACUCUACCCUCGCCAUGAUGUAGGGUUUAUUUCUGUUUUGUGCUGCAUUAAGAUUAAGAAGAGAUUCUUAGGAGUUGGAACCCUAAUAGUGGUAAAUACCUGAAAUAGAGCUCGUGGAUAUAUAGUACUAUGCUGAAAUUGAAGCUUAGGUAUAAAGACAUGGGAGGAACAUUGGUGGGGUUGUAUGUUCUGAGAAUUUUGUUGCUUAAUUGGUGGUCUACUUAGAGAGAGUGUUUUGAAUGGUAGUCUCAGUUUUGAGGGGCACUAUAAAGGUGGGUUCUUCAUUUAGGGAAAUCACCAAGCUGCUCAUCACUAAACCUAAGGUUCUCACCUAAGAAAGAUCCAGAGUGGCUAAAGGACGCAAGGGAAUAAGAGAACCCGUGGGAUCUCUUUGGGCCAAAAGAGUCACAUGUAACUUCAAUUAUCUUUUAGUGAAUACUUGGAACAUCUCAAGCUCUUCAUUGAUAAGAAGUGAGUGGUUUUUUAUGUUACUCUAGCUCUUUUGAUUAGUUUCAUGUUAACUGCACUUGGAAUACUGCUGACUGGUGAGAGAAUUAGCUCUGUUUUGUUGUUGUCUUUUUUAUCAGUUAUGGUAUUUUGUCCACUCCUAUCUGCUUCAACUUAAAGUGAAUAGGUCCAGUUUUGAAUUAGCUCUAGCUUAUGGUAGCUUUUUCAACUUAGGUUCUUAAUGGAAAGAGAAAGCAGAGUCUGGAAGUGGAACUUCAGCUGUGCUACAAAGCUCAGUCCCGAGUAUCUUAGCAGCUAGUUGUUGAAACAGCUGGAUCCAGAGCUUUGAAAGCUUUGAUUCAAGCGAAAGAAACUGCAGUGGUUGAUCUAUAAAAGGAGUUGACAGAAGAAUCCAUGUGCUUGAUGAUAAGUCUAGUGGAGUUUUCACUUGUUAAUCACCUCAACAUAGCCAUGAAGAUGAAGAUGAAGUUGAAGAUGAAGAUGAAGAUGAAGAUGAAGAUGAAGAUGAAGAAUUCUUAUGAUCAUUAUAACCUCAUUUUAAUAUGUUACUCAUUUUCUUUGCUUUUAAGUAUUAGACAUUUAGGCAUUUAAUUUUUAUGACAUUUAAUAUUUUGCUUUGCUUUUAAGUCUUAAAUACUACCCCAUUUAUAUGUACCCUAUUUUUCCACACUUGUUUGCUUAUGUUUCAAUUUUAAAAUAUUCUCUAUUGAAUAGA